GCGGGAGUAGCUCAGUUGGCUAGAGCAUCAGCCUUCCAAGCUGAGGGUCGCCGGUUCGAACCCGGUCUCUCGCUCCA
rnacentral:tRNA from 1 species